rnacentral:rRNA from 1 species
UACGGAGGGUGCGAGCGUUGUCCGGAAUCACUGGGCGUAAAGGGUGCGUAGGCCGCACGGUAAGUCAGAGGUGAAAUCCCGGAGCUCAACUUCGGAAUUGCCUCCGAUACUGCCGUGCUUGAGGACUGGAGAGGAGAUUGGAAUUCACAGUGGAGCAGUGAAAUGCGUAGAUAUUGUGAGGAACACUAGUGGCGAAGGCGAAUCUCUGGACAGUUCCUGACGCUGAGGCACGAAGGCCAGGGGAGCAAACGGG